rnacentral:rRNA from 1 species
UACGUAGGGUGCAAGCGUUGUCCGGAAUUAUUGGGCGUAAAGAGCUCGUAGGCGGUGUGUCGCGUCUGCUGUGAAAACUCGAGGCUCAACGUCUGAGCUUGCAGUGGGUACGGGCACACUUGAGUGCUGUAGGGGAGACUGGAAUUCCUGGUGUAGCGGUGAAAUGCGCAGAUAUCAGGAGGAACACCGGUGGCGAAGGCGGGUCUCUGGGCAGUUACUGACGCUGAGGAGCGAAAGCAUGGGGAGCGAACAGG